UGUGAACACCCACAGAGAGAUAUAUCCAUGCUGACACAGAAAGGCAGUAAUGACUAUGCUGUGAACACCCAAAACACAAUACAUCCAUGCUGACACAGAAAGGCAGUAAUGACUUGGUUGUGAACACCAGGAGCAAGAUAUAUCCAUGCUGACACAGGAAGGCAGUAAUGACUUGGCUGUAAACACAGAACACAAUACACCCAUGCUGACACAGAAAGGCAGUAAUGACUUGGCUGUGAACACAGAACACAUUACACCCAUGCUGACACAGAAAGGCAGUAAUGACUUGGCUGUGAACACAGAGCUUAAUACAUCCAUGCUGACACAGAAAGGCAGUAAUGACUUGGCUGUAAACACAGAGCACAAUACAUCCAUGCUGACACAGAAAGGUAGUUAUGACUUGGCUGUAAACACAGAGCACAAUACAUUCAUGCUGACACAGAAAGGCAGUAAUGACUUGGCUGUAAACACAGAGCACAAUACAUCCAUGCUGACACAGAAAGGCAGUUAUGACUUGGUUGUGAACACAGAGCACAAUACAUCCUUGUUGACACAGAAAGGCAGUAGUGACUUUGCUGUGAACUCAGAGCACGAUACAUCCAUGCUGACACAGAAAGGCAGUAAAGACUUGGUUGUAAACACCCAGAGCACAAUACAUCCAUGCUGACACAGACAGGCAGUAAAGACUUUGUUGUAAACACUAAGAGAUCCAUACAUCCAUGGGGUGUGCCACAGCCGCAAAUUACGCCCACUAUUGUGAACAAAGUUCUUAAAGUGAACACGUCUGGUUUGGUUAUGAGCACAUAGCACUCCAAGCCCAAAAGGCCUCGCAUUAAAUUGAUGCAAGAGAAGGCUUUGGAAAAUAACAGCAGUUUUGUUGUGUGGUCCAGUACGCCCUUCGACUCGCAACCUGAAGAAAGCAGAACUCAAACUCGUCUCUUAGCAAUAUCAGCAAGGCUAGCAUGUCAUCUCAGCUUCUUGAACUUCAGUGAACUUUACUAGCAAACAUGACUAACGUCAUUGAAGUGAAAGUCGAUGACAACCCCCUUCUUGCACAAAUACUACAAUUGCUUAAGAAAUUCAGCACGGAGACGUCUUGCGUCAGACUACCAAGCCUCCUAUCAAUAUCUUCUCCCAUGUUGGCUACAUCAACACUUCCAACAGCAGAGCCUUGGUGAGUUCGACUUCCGUCUCGGCAUCGAUGUCGCUUAGCAACAAUUGGAUGAUUGCGUCGACAAAUUAGGCCGGACAAGUUGCUCGAACUGAAACGAUCUGAUUCAACAGGUAGAGCAGGCGUUGCCUGACACGUCCGUUAAUGUGACUGACCACGAUAUGUUGUUCUCGAAAAAUGUGAACCUUAGGCCUGGAGAGCAGUAUGCGAUUGACGCCAUUCAACAACAGUUGUUGUCGGCAAUUCUUGGGUUUGGGGUGGCGACUUCGGCGUCGGGACUCGCUCCAUCUCUGUCUAUGGCCCAGUCGCAGCAGCAACAAGAAAAAUAAGUAGUAUCUUAGCGGUGUUCUGCGAUUUGGGGAUUCAUCCUGUUCCUACAGGAACCCAUGCAAUCAUAGAUCGGUACCUAGCUGAACAACAGGCUGUCUGGUCAGCUGGGCCCAGACGCCCAGUGACACUUCCUGGCCCAGGACCUUGGGGCAAAUGCUCAACUAGUCCUACCUGCAGGGUGGAGCCACUCUGAACCUGGGGCUCCAUACUUUCUUGGCCAGCGGCCAAGAUUACCUUGUCAAUAAGAAACCCGGAUAGCAAGGCGUUGAGUUUGUUCUUGAAGCAUUUGCACCAGAAGCAGUCAUCAUCUUGAUAUUCUGGAAUCUCCAUGGUGAAGGACGACCUCAGUCUGUGAACAAAAUGCAGAGCUAACCUCAGAUGCCUUUUGACGAAAUCAAACCAUCCGAUCACAAACACAGACUGUUGCAGCAGUUGUUACCAUAUUGACCGCAGUCAAACCUAAGAAGCUCAGAGAUAAAUACUGAUUUAGUUCUGCUAGUCUCUGCAUACGGCCUGGUUUGGUCAGCACUUACUCUGACUCUUUGAAUAUUAUGACGGAUGGAAAUGAAUGACCUUGUUCAGAUCGAAAUGGCAGAAUGACACAUCACAACAAUUCAAGUGGAAAGCCAGAAAGUCAUGUCAACAGCCACAUUUUGUAUGUCACCAGCCAAGUUGUAUUCAAAGACAAACAAUAGUUUAUGCUCUAUUGUGUAUGUGACCAGCCAAGUUGUAUUCAACGAAAAACAAUAGUUUACGUUUUAUUUUUUAUGUGACCUACCAAGUUGUUUGUAUAGGUCCCUGGUUUAGCAAAGCAUUAAAAGUAUUUUUAAAAGCACACAUAUUGCAUGUCAAUUCAAUGUCUUUGCCUGUAUUAUGAAACUUUCACUACAGAUGUUGAUCCUCAUGAUGGUAAAUAAAUGGGAAAUACAAUGUUAUCAAAGAUUUGUUAAGAUUGCCAAAGCUGUUUAAAUGAUGCUGGUAACUUGAACAAGAUUGAAAAAAACAUUGGAGUGUUUUCAUGUUAUAAGACAUGUUUCAGUUGUCUGUUUUUAACCCGUUAAUAUAGAUUAGCUAAUGAAAAGUAUUUGUUCAGAAAGGUGUAAAAUGUUUACGCUUCAGAUUUUUGUCAAUCAACCUUAUGAAAACAAUACUAGUCAAUUGGCUCAUUCGGGUCGGUAUUUUAUCAUGAAUCUUUUU